GACGAACGCUGGCGGCGUGCUUAACACAUGCAAGUCGAACGAAGUGGCGAACGGGUGAGUAACGCGUAAUCAACCUGCCCUUCAGAGGGGGACAACAGUUGGAAACGACUGCUAAUACCGCAUACUGAAGGAGGGGAUUGCGUCUGAUUAGCUCGGUGGAGGGGUAAAGGCCCACCAAGGCGCGGAUCAGUAGGCGGGCGGGGAGGGUGGACGGGCAAAACGGGACUGGGACACGGCCCAGACUCCUACGGGAAGCAGCAGUGGGGAAACGUCCGAAAUGGACGACAGUCUGACGGAGCAACGCCGCGUGAGUGAUGACGGCCUUCGGGGCGUAAAGCUCUGUUAAGCGGGACGCGGUACCGGAAGAGAAAGCCACGGCUAACUACGUGCCAGCAGCCGCGGUAAUAC
rnacentral:rRNA from 1 species